AUCCAUAUAGCUCAGUUGGUCGAGCACGAGACUCUUAAUCUCAGGGUUGUGGGUUGGAGCCCCACGUUGGGCA
rnacentral:tRNA from 1 species